UAGAGUCGAUUUUAUCACAGUUAACAAUAACUUAUUUCCAGAUCUUUAUCAGUUCUCUGAAGCAUAAGGAGGAAUGUUGAUAGAAACACGGAGGUGUUUGUUCCUUGCCAUUAUCUUCACAAUCCUGUUGCUUAUAGAAAUAGCCAUGCAGUUGGAAUUAACUCCCUUGAUACCGGUUUUUAAAAGGUCUCUACAGGAAAAUUCAAGCCGUCAGAAUUUUCAUAUCAAAGGUCCCUCUGUAAAAGAUACCCCUUUUGUUAAUAUAACAACAGCAUGCA